rnacentral:rRNA from 1 species
GAGGAGCUUGCUCCUCUGAUCAGUGGCGAACGGGUGAGUAACACGUGAGCAACCUGCCCCAGACUCUGGGAUAACAGUUGGAAACAGCUGCUAAUACCGGAUACGAGACGGAGAGGCAUCUCUACCGUCUGGAAAGUUUUUCGGUCUGGGAUGGACUCGCGGCCUAUCAGCUAGUUGGUGAGGUAAUGGCUCACCAAGGCGACGACGGGUAGCCGGCCUGAGAGGGCGACCGGCCACACUGGGACUGAGACACGGCCCAGACUCCUACGGGAGGCAGCAGUGGGGAAUAUUGCACAAUGGGCGAAAGCCUGAUGCAGCGACGCCGCGUGAGGGAUGACGGCCUUCGGGUUGUAAACCUCUUUCAGCAGGGAAGAAGCGAAAGUGACGGUACCUGCAGAAGAAGCACCGGCUAACUACGUGCCAGCAGCCGCGGUAAUACGUAGGGUGCGAGCGUUGUCCGGAAUUAUUGGGCGUAAAGAGCUUGUAGGCGGUUUGUCGCGUCUGCAGUGAAAAUCCGAGGCUCAACCUCGGACUUGCUGUGGGUACGGGCAGACUAGAGUAUGGUAGGGGAGACCGGAAUUCCUGGUGUAGCGGUGGAAUGCGCAGAUAUCAGGAGGAACACCGAUGGCGAAGGCAGGUCUCUGGGCCAUAACUGACGCUGAGAAGCGAAAGCAUGGGGAGCGAACAGGAUUAGAUACCCUGGUAGUCCAUGCCGUAAACGUUGGGCGCUAGGUGUGGGGCUCAUUCCACGAGCUCCGUGCCGCAGCUAACGCAUUAAGCGCCCCGCCUGG